GAUCCUGGCUCAGGACGAACGCUGGCGGCGUGCUUAACACAUGCAAGUCGAACGAGAAUCUAAUGACGGAGUUUUCGGACAACUGAUUUAGAGGACAGUGGCGGACUGGUGAGUAACGCGUGAGGAACCUGCCUUUCAGAGGGGGACAACAGUUGGAAACGACUGCUAAUACCGCAUGACGCAUUUUGAUCGCAUGGUCGAAAUGCCAAAGAUUUAUCGCUGAAAGAUGGCCUCGCGU
rnacentral:rRNA from 1 species